rnacentral:lncRNA from 1 species
AUCCUUAUUCGAGAAGUAUGGCCCAGAGGUAAGCAUAGAAACAUAUGUAUAUAUCUCCACUGCUAUCCAUAGCAGUUAUUGCAUUCUAUUCUGUUUUAGAGAGCAAGAAAAGCCCUCAAACUAGAAUUAGAAACAGCUCCUAAAGAGCAAUAAAGUAAAAAUGCACCAUAGAAAAAGGAAAAGUCUAAACAAAGCUGCCGCUCACAGCAGUCCUGCACAGCAGAUAUAAAAAGCUAUAAGCAGUGUCUUUGAAAGAGUGCGAUGGACAAAGGCAGAUAACCACGAAAAGCGCACAAGGCCUGCAACGUUGGGUGAGUUGGUUGAAUUCAGCACAGUAGCAAGUGCUGUGGGUUAUGGAGGAGCAUAAAACCUGGUCUUUUUUUUUUUUUUUUUUUUUUAGAUUUAUUUAUUUCUUAUAGGUAAGUACACUGUAGCUGUCUUCAGACACCCCAGAAGAGGACAUCAGAUCUCAUUACGGAUGGUUGUGAGCCGUCAUGUGGUUGCUGGAAUUUGAACUCAUGAACUUCAGAAGAGCAGUCGGCACUCUUAACCGCUGAGCCAUCUCUCCAGCCCAAAACCUGGUCGUAAUAAAGGCACAAUGGCUAUGGUUUCUGCACAGUGUCGGUGCUCAAUCACCUGAGAUUAUCCAUUUGGUUUUCUUAUAUAUAUAUAAGUCUUGUUCUGCCAAAAUCUUCUCUGUCUUUCAGCUAUAUUAUAAUGAGCAGUGAAAAAUAUUAGAAUGAACAGAGAAACCGUGGGGCGCGGAGACAUACAAAAAAGGAGAGCUCAGUACCUUUGUGGAGAGUCACAUUGUGGCAGGCAAGGAUGGAUGCAGUCACAGUCGCUUGUUGAGUGGAACCCGGCUAGAAUACUGUGAAAUCGAGAAAUCACACCAAGCAACACGGAUCGAAGCUCUAUAUUUAAUUCUACGACCCAAAGGAGAAAUUGCACACGGGGAAUUGCUUGCCAAUCUGGAAUGGUGACACACUCUGAAAUAGGUAUUUCAGCUGCCUAGUGUGUCAGGAAAAAACAGGGUAGGAUCGAAAGGAAUAAAGCCGUGCAGGACAUUCA